GGACCAUUAGCUCAGUUGGUUAGAGCAACCGGCUCAUAACCGGUCGGUCGUAGGUUCGAGUCCUACAUGGUCCA
rnacentral:tRNA from 1 species